rnacentral:rRNA from 1 species
UGGGGAAUUUUGGACAAUGGGCGAAAGCCUGAUCCAGCAAUGCCGCGUGUGUGAAGAAGGCCUUCGGGUUGUAAAGCACUUUUGUCCGGAAAGAAAUCCUUGGCUCUAAUACAGUCGGGGGAUGACGGUACCGGAAGAAUAAGCACCGGCUAACUACGUGCCAGCAGCCGCGGUAAUACGCAGGGUGCAAGCGUUAAUCGGAAUUACUGGGCGUAAAGCGUGCGCAGGCGGUUUGCUAAGACCGAUGUGAAAUCCCCGGGCUCAACCUGGGAACUGCAUUGGUGACUGGCAGGCUAGAGUAUGGCAGAGGGGGGUAGAAUUCCACGUGUAGCAGUGAAAUGCGUAGAGAUGUGGAGGAAUACCGAUGGCGAAGGCAGCCCCCUGGGCCAAUACUGACGCUCAUGCACGAAAGCGUGGGGAGCAAACAGGAUUAGAUACCCUGGUAGUCCACGCCCUAAACGAUGUCAACUAGUUGUUGGGGAUUCAUUUCCUUAGUAACGUAGCUAACGCGUGAAGUUGACCGCCUGGGGAGUACGGUCGCAAGAUUAAAACUCAAAGGAAUUGACGGGGUCAUAGCUGUUUCC